GAAUAGCUCAGUGGUAGAGCCCAUGUUUGGCAUGCAUGAGGUCCUGGGUUCACUCUCCAGUACCAUCA
rnacentral:tRNA from 1 species